rnacentral:miRNA from 1 species
AAACAGCGAGCUUCGUGUC